rnacentral:rRNA from 1 species
CCUACGGGGGGCAGCAGUGAGGAAUAUUGGUCAAUGGGAGAGAUCCUGAACCAGCCAAGCCGCGUGAGGGAAGACGGCCCUAUGGGUUGUAAACCUCUUUUGUCGGAGAAUAAAACCCGUGACGUGUCCCGCACUGCGUGUAUCCGAAGAAAAAGCAUCGGCUAACUCCGUGCCAGCAGCCGCGGUAAUACGUAGGUGGCGAGCGUUAUCCGGAAUGAUUGGGCGUAAAGGGUGCGGAGGCGGUCCUGCAAGUCUGCAGUGAAACGGGUGAGCUCAACCCAUGCAUGGCUGUGGAAACUGGAGGACUGGAGAGCAGGAGAGGGCGGUGGAACUCCAUGUGUAGCGGUGAAAUGCGUAGAUAUAUGGAAGAACACCAGUGGCGAAGGCGGCCGCCUGGACUGUUGCUGACGCUGAGGCACGAAAGCGUGGGGAGCAAAUAGGAUUAGAUACCCUUGUAGUC